rnacentral:rRNA from 1 species
CUUAACGCGAAGAACUUACCUGGUCUUGACAUCCAGAGAAUUUAGCAGAGAUGCUUUGGUGCCUUCGGGAACUGUGAGACAGGUGCUGCAUGGCUGUCGUCAGCUCGUGUUGUGAAAUGUUGGGUUAAGUCCCGCAACGAGCGCAACCCUUAUCCUUUGUUGCCAGCGAUUCGGUCGGGAACUCAAAGGAGACUGCCGGUGAUAAACCGGAGGAAGGUGGGGAUGACGUCAAGUCAUCAUGGCCCUUACGAGCAGGGCUACACACGUGCUACAAUGGCGCAUACAAAGAGAAGCGACCUCGCGAGAGCAAGCGGACCUCAUAAAGUGCGUCGUAGUCCGGAUCGGAGUCUGCAACUCGACUCCGUGAAGUCGGAAUCGGCUAGUAAUCGUAGAUCAGAAUGCCACGGGAAUACGACGU